AAAGCCUUAAGUUAAGUUAAACUAAAAGCCUUCAAAGCUUUUUAUGGGGUGUUAGCCUCAGGCUUUG
rnacentral:tRNA from 1 species